rnacentral:rRNA from 1 species
AACGAACGCUGGCGGCAUGCCUAACACAUGCAAGUCGAACGAGACCUUCGGGUCUAGUGGCGCACGGGUGCGUAACGCGUGGGAACCUGCCCUUAGGUUCGGAAUAACUCCCCGAAAGGGGUGCUAAUACCGGAUAAUGUCUUCGGACCAAAGAUUUAUCGCCUUUGGAGGGGCCCGCGUUGGAUUAGCUAGUUGGUAGGGUAAAAGCCUACCAAGGCGACGAUCCAUAGCUGGUCUGAGAGGAUGAUCAGCCACACUGGGACUGAGACACGGCCCAGACUCCUACGGGAGGCAGCAGUGGGGAAUAUUGGACAAUGGGCGAAAGCCUGAUCCAGCAAUGCCGCGUGAGUGAUGAAGGCCUUAGGGUUGUAAAGCUCUUUUACCCGGGAUGAUAAUGACAGUACCGGGAGAAUAAGCGCCGGCUAACUCCGUG